UUAGGAUGAACGCUAGCUACAGGCUUAACACAUGCAAGUCGAGGGGCAGCAUGGUCUUAGCUUGCUAAGGCCGAUGGCGACCGGCGCACGGGUGAGUAACACGUAUCCAACCUGCCGUCUACUCUUGGACAGCCUUCUGAAAGGAAGAUUAAUACAAGAUGGCAUCAUGAGUCCGCAUGUUCACAUGAUUAAAGGUAUUCCGGUAGACGAUGGGGAUGCGUUCCAUUAGAUAGUAGGCGGGGUAACGGCCCACCUAGUCUUCGAUGGAUAGGGGUUCUGAGAGGAAGGUCCCCCACAUUGGAACUGAGACACGGUCCAAACUCCUACGGGAGGCAGCAGUGAGGAAUAUUGGUCAAUGGGCGAGAGCCUGAACCAGCCAAGUAGCGUGAAGGAUGACUGCCCUAUGGGUUGUAAACUUCUUUUAUAAAGGAAUAAAGUCGGGUAUGCAUACCCGUUUGCAUGUACUUUAUGAAUAAGGAUCGGCUAACUCCGUGCCAGCAGCCGCGGUAAUACGGAGGAUCCGAGCGUUAUCCGGAUUUAUUGGGUUUAAAGGGAGCGUAGAUGGAUGUUUAAGUCAGUUGUGAAAGUUUGCGGCUCAACCGUAAAAUUGCAGUUGAUACUGGAUAUCUUGAGUGCAGUUGAGGCAGGCGGAAUUCGUGGUGUAGCGGUGAAAUGCUUAGAUAUCACGAAGAACUCCGAUUGCGAAGGCAGCCUGCUAAGCUGCAACUGACAUUGAGGCUCGAAAGUGUGGGUAUCAAACAGGAUUAGAUACCCUGGUAGUCCACACGGUAAACGAUGAAUACUCGCUGUUUGCGAUAUACGGCAAGCGGCCAAGCGAAAGCGUUAAGUAUUCCACCUGGGGAGUACGCCGGCAACGGUGAAACUCAAAGGAAUUGACGGGGGCCCGCACAAGCGGAGGAACAUGUGGUUUAAUUCGAUGAUACGCGAGGAACCUUACCCGGGCUUAAAUUGCAGAUGAAUUACGGUGAAAGCCGUAAGCCGCAAGGCAUCUGUGAAGGUGCUGCAUGGUUGUCGUCAGCUCGUGCCGUGAGGUGUCGGCUUAAGUGCCAUAACGAGCGCAACCCUUGUUGUCAGUUACUAACAGGUUCCGCUGAGGACUCUGACAAGACUGCCAUCGUAAGAUGUGAGGAAGGUGGGGAUGACGUCAAAUCAGCACGGCCCUUACGUCCGGGGCUACACACGUGUUACAAUGGGGGGUACAGAGGGCCGCUACCACGCGAGUGGAUGCCAAUCCCAAAAACCUCUCUCAGUUCGGACUGGAGUCUGCAACCCGACUCCACGAAGCUGGAUUCGCUAGUAAUCGCGCAUCAGCCACGGCGCGGUGAAUACGUUCCCGGGCCUUGUACACACCGCCCGUCAAGCCAUGGGAGCCGGGGGUACCUGAAGUGCGUAACCGCGAGGAGCGCCCUAGGGUAA
rnacentral:rRNA from 1 species